AACGCGAAGAACCUUACCUGGACUUGACAUGCACUUGAAUACUUUAGAGAUAAAGUAGUCUCGCAAGAGACGAGUGCACAGGUGCUGCAUGGCUGUCGUCAGCUCGUGCCGUGAGGUGUUGGGUUAAGUCCCGCAACGAGCGCAACCCUUGUCGUUAGUUGCCAUCAAGUAAUGUUGGGCACUCUAGCGAGACUGCCUGGGUUAACCAGGAGGAAGGUGAGGAUGACGUCAAGUCCGCAUGGCCUUUAUGUCCAGGGCUACACACGUGCUACAAUGGCAGGUACAGAAGGCAGCAAUACCGAGAGGUGGAGCAAAUCCUCAAAGCCUGCCCCAGUUCAGAUUGAAGUCUGCAACUCGACUUCAUGAAGAUGGAAUUGCUAGUAAUGGCGAGUCAGCAACAUCGCCGUGAAUACGUUCCCGGGCCUUGUACACACCGGCUAC
rnacentral:rRNA from 1 species